rnacentral:rRNA from 1 species
CCUACGGGGGGCAGCAGUGGGGAAUAUUGGACAAUGGGCGCAAGCCUGAUCCAGCCAUGCCGCGUGGAUGAUGAAGGCCUUAGGGUUGUAAAAUCCUUUCGGCGGGGAAGCGGUACCCGCAGAAGAAGCCCCGGCUAACUUCGUGCCAGCAGCCGCGGUAAUACGAAGGGGGCUAGCGUUGCUCGGAAUCACUGGGCGUAAAGCGCACGUAGGCGGCUUUUUAAGUCAGGGGUGAAAUCCUGGAGCUCAACUCCAGAACUGCCUUUGAUACUGAGAAGCUUGAGUUCGGGAGAGGUGAGUGGAACUGCGAGUGUAGAGGUGAAAUUCGUAGAUAUUCGCAAGAACACCAGUGGCGAAGGCGGCUCACUGGCCCGUCUGACGCUGAGGUGCGAAAGCGUGGGGAGCAAACAGGAUUAAUACCCUUGUAGUC